AUUGAACGCUGGCGGAAUGCUUUACACAUGCAAGUCGAGCGGCAGCGCGGGGCAACCUGGCGGCGAGCGGCGAACGGGUGAGUAAUGCAUCGGAACAUGUCCAUGUCGUGGGGGAUAGCCCGGCGAAAGCCGGAUUAAUACCGCAUACGCCCGAGAGGGGAAAGUGGGGGACCGCAAGGCCUCACGCGAUUGGGUUGGCCGAUGUCCGAUUAGCUAGUUGGCGGGGUAAGAGCCCACCAAGGCGAUGAUCGGUAGCUGGUCUGAGAGGAUGAUCAGCCACACUGAGACUGGGACACGGCCCAGACUCCUACGUGAGGCAGCAGUGGGGAAUUUUGGACAAUGGGGGCAACCCUUAUCCAGCCAUUCCGCGUGAGUGAAGAAGGCCUGCGGGUUGUAAAGCUCUUUUGUCCGGAACGAAACGGUUAGGUCGAAUAAGCCGGACUACUGACGGUACCGGAAGAAUAAGCACCGGCUAACUACGUGCCAGCAGCCGCCGUAAUAC
rnacentral:rRNA from 1 species